GUCCAUUCUCUAGUAGGUCUGCAUCUUUAUUCCCAUCUUGCCCCUAGGUUCUUCAGUACUAUUUUUUUUUUUUGAUUACAUACAUAUGUGUUAGCAUACGGUAUUUGUUUUUCUCUUUCUGACUUACUUCACUCUGUAUGACAGACUCUAGGUCCAUCCACCUCACUACAAAUAACUCAAUUUCAUUUCUUUUUAUGGCUGAGUAAUAUUCCAUUGUAUAUAUGUGCCACAUCUUCUUUAUCCAUUCAUCCAAUGAUGGACACAGGUUGUUUCCAUCUCCGGGCUAUUGUAAAUAGAGCUGCAAUGAACAUUUUGGUGCAUGACUCUUUUUGAAUUAUGCUUUUCUCAGGGUAUAUGCCCAGUAGUGGGAUUCCUGGGUCAGAUGGUAGUUCUAUUUUUAGUUUUUUGAGGAACCUCCAUAGAGUUCUCCAUAGUGGCUGUAUCAAUUUACAUUCCCACCGACAGUGCAAGAGGGUUCCCUUUUCUCCACACCCUCUCCAGCAUUUAUUGUUUGUAGAUUUUUUGAUGAGGGCCAUUCUGACUGGUGUGAGGUGAUACCUCAUUGUAGUUUUGAUAUGCAUUUCUCUAAUGAUUAGUG